rnacentral:rRNA from 1 species
UGGGGGCUGACUACCAUGCAAGUCGAGCGAGAAAGGCCUUCGGGCUGAGUACAGCGGCGGACGGGUGAGUAACGCGUAGGAAUCUACCUGGUAGUGGGGGACAACUUGGGGAAACUCAAGCUAAUACCGCAUACGCCCCAUGGGGGAAAGCGGGGGACCUUCGGGCCUCGCGCUAUCAGAGGAGCCUGCGUAGGAUUAGCUAGUUGGUGAGGUAAAGGCUCACCAAGGCGACGAUCCUUAGCUGGUCUGAGAGGAUGAUCAGCCACACUGGGACUGAGACACGGCCCAGACUCCUACGGGAGGCAGCAGUGGGGAAUAUUGCGCAAUGGAGGAAACUCUGACGCAGCCGUGCCGCGUGUGUGAAGAAGGCCUUCGGGUUGUAAAGCACUUUCAAUUGGGAAGAAAGGUUGUUGCCUAAUACGCAACAGCUGUGACGUUACCUUUAGAAGAAGCACCGGCUAACUCCGUGCCAGCAGCCGCGGUAAUACGGAGGGUGCGAGCGUUAAUCGGAAUUACUGGGCGUAAAGCGCGCGUAGGCGGUUUGUUAAGUCGGAUGUGAAAGCCCCGGGCUCAACCUGGGAAUUGCAUUCGAUACUGGCCGACUAGAGUACGAGAGAGGGAGGUAGAAUUCCACGUGUAGCGGUGAAAUGCGUAUAUAUGUGGAGGAAUACCGGUGGCGAAGGCGGCCUCCUGGCUCGAUACUGACGCUGAUGUGCGAAAGCGUGGGUAGCAAACAGGAUUAGAUACCCUGGUAGUCCACGCCGUAUACGAUGUCUACUAGCCGUUGGGAGACUUGAUUUCUUAGUGCGCAGCUAACGCACUAGUAGACCGCCUGGGGAGUACGGGCUCGCACGGGUUAAACUCAGAUGAAUUGGACUGAGGGUCCGCCCACCAAGCC